UACGUAGGGUGCAAGCGUUAAUCGGAAUUACUGGGCGUAAAGCGUGCGCAGGCGGUCCGUUAAGACAGAUGUGAAAUCCCCGGGCUUAACCUGGGAACUGCAUUUGUGAUUGGCAGACUCGAGUAUGGCAGAGGGGGGUAGAAUUCCACGUGUAGCAGUGAAAUGCGUAGAGAUGUGGAGGAAUACCGAUGGCGAAGGCAGCCCCCUGGGCCAAUACUGACGCUCAUGCACGAAAGCGUGGGGAGCAAACAGG
rnacentral:rRNA from 1 species